GCGCUACAGAGUUUCGUAUUAAUAUCUUUAUGAAAAUUGCAGAUUCUACGACCGCAUUUAGUAACCAGAAUGAUCCGACGAUCGUUAUAUGGCGAUGCAAACUGUGAUACUCGAUUUCAAUUCCCAAUUUCUUCAAACGUUCGUCUACUUUGUCGAUCUGUUUUAUCAAGGCCGGCACGUUCUGAAUAAUAAACGAGUAAAAACAAAAGUAAUCGAGUUAUUAAAUUUGCGUGAAAAUUUCAUUACUAUAUAAUUAAAAGAAGAUC
rnacentral:misc_RNA from 1 species